UCUUCGGUUCCACAGCCCGUUUCUGGUAU
rnacentral:sRNA from 1 species